rnacentral:ncRNA from 1 species
UGAAAAGUGUUGAGGGAGACGAGUACGCGCAGGUUGCCCGGUACAGAAAGAGCACGGCUGAUGAGAGUGCUACUGGAGACGCGCCGAAUAUCACUCCUGAGCUGAACGCUGAACGUCGCCUGACAAAGUAAGCGGACCGGCCUUGCCCCCCGUUAGCAGGGCAGAGAUGUGUUGGCAUCUCAUCGAGUGGACGUGCCUUGCCCUCAUAGGGCUGUGUAGGGACGUCAAUAGGGGUGGUACCGCGAACCUUUCAAGCUUCGUCCCCAGU